AAAACCCAUAACAAAACAAUAUAUACAGCUGCAGGAAGCACAUCUACAGGAAGCACAUAUGCAGGAGGAACAUCUACAAAAAAAGAAGGUAAGAUGAAAUAUACAAACACAAAUGAACAAACUAUUCUCUAAACCAUACUCUCCACAAAAUACCCAAAAAGAUAUGUUCGUACCCCACAAAUAAAUACUUACAAAGCCAGUCUAGAUUCACAAAAACAAACAUAUAAUCACAUUAACAGAAUGUAUAUAGAAAAUAUAUACAAGAUACAAACUUUUCUAAACCUAAACCCUAGAGCAAAAGAUACCAAAAAUCCAAACGAAAAUUUUAUAUCACCCAAUACCUACAAGGAUACAACAAACUAAUAGCACAACCAGGAACAAAUCCAAAUCUAGUAGCAACUUGCUACAAUUACGGGCUAAU
rnacentral:misc_RNA from 1 species